AGACAGUGCAGCAACAAUAAUAAUAAUAAUAAUAAUAGUCACUGUUUGUUAAGGUAGUUCUAGACAGUGCAGCAACAAUAAUAAUAAUAAUAAUAAUAAUAAGUCACUGUUUGUUAAGGUAGUUAUAGACAGUGCAGCAACAAUAAUAAUAAUAAUAGUCACUGUUUGUUAAGGUAGUUCUAGACAGUGCAGCAACAAUAAUAAUAAUAAUAGUCACUGUUUGUUAAGGUAGUUAUAGACAGUGCAGCAACAAUAAUAAUAAUAAUAGUCACUGUUUGUUAAGGUAGUUAUAGACAGUGCAGCAACAAUAAUAAUAAUAAUAGUCACUGUUUGUUAAGGUAGUUCUAGACAGUGCAGCAACAAUAAUAAUAAUAAUAAGUCACUGUUUGUUAAGGUAGUUCUAGACAGUGCAGCAACAAUAAUAAUAAUAAUAGUCACUGUUUGUUAAGGUAGUUCUAGACAGUGCAGCAACAAUAAUAAUAAUAAUAAGUCACUGUUUGUUAAGGUAGUUCUAGACAGUGCAGCAACAAUAAUAAUAAUAAUAGUCACUGUUUGUUAAGGUAGUUCUAGACAGUGCAGCAACAAUAAUAAUAAUAAUAAUAAUAAUAAUAGUCACUGUUUGUUAAGGUAGUUCUAGACAGUGCAGCAACAAUAAUAAUAAUAAUAGUCACUGUUUGUUAAGGUAGUUCUAGACAGUGCAGCAACAAUAAUAAUAAUAAUAAUAAUAAUAAUAAUAAUAAUAAUAAUAAUAAUAAUAAUAAUAAUAAUAAUAGUCACUGUUUGUUAAGGUAGUUCUAGACAGUGCAGCAACAAUAAUAAUAAUAAUAGUCACUGUUUGUUAAGGUAGUUCUAGACAGUGCAGCAACAAUAAUAAUAAUAAUAGUCACUGUUUGUUAAGGUAGUUCUAGACAGUGCAGCAACAAUAAUAAUAAUAAUAAGUCACUGUUUGUUAAGGUAGUUAUAGACAGUGCAGCAACAAUAAUAAUAAUAAUAGUCACUGUUUGUUAAGGUAGUUCUAGACAGUGCAGCAACAAUAAUAAUAAUAAUAGUCACUGUUUGUUAAGGUAGUUCUAGACAGUGCAGCAACAAUAAUAAUAAUAAUAAUAGUCACUGUUUGUUAAGGUAGUUCUAGACAGUGCAGCAACAAUAAUAAUAAUAAUAAUAAUAGUCACUGUUUGUUAAGGUAGUUCUAGACAGUGCAGCAACAAUAAUAAUAAUAAUAGUCACUGUUUGUUAAGGUAGUUCUAGACAGUGCAGCAACAAUAAUAAUAAUAAUAGUCACUGUUUGUUAAGGUAGUUCUAGACAGUGCAGCAAUAAUAAUAAUAAUAAUAGUCACUGUUUGUUAAGGUAGUUCUAGACAGUGCAGCAACAAUAAUAAUAAUAAUAGUCACUGUUUGUUAAGGUAGUUCUAGACAGUGCAGCAACAAUAAUAAUAAUAAUAAUAAUAGUCACUGUUUGUUAAGGUAGUUCUAGACAGUGCAGCAAUAAUAAUAAUAAUAAUAAUAGUCACUGUUUGUUAAGGUAGUUCUAGACAGUGCAGCAACAAUAAUAAUAAUAAUAGUCACUGUUUGUUAAGGUAGUUCUAGACAGUGCAGCAAC